AAGGAUUCCCCUAGUACGGGCGACGGAAGCGGGAAAAGCCCACAGUGGUAAUCUCUGUUCUUCGAACAGCGAAUUGUAAUCUGAAGGCAGGCAGCCUGAGCGGACCGUCUGGACGCAGAAGUGUCGAGGAGUCGACCGCCAAAGAGGGUGAGAGCCCCGUCUGUGGUGUCCGGAUACCGUGAUGGCUACCGGUCUAAGAGUCGUGUACUUUGAUACUAGUGCACAAAGCGGGAGAUAAACUUCUUCUAAGGCUAAAUAAACGUAGGAGACCGAUAGCGAACAAGUACUGUGAAGGAAAGAUGAAAAGCACUUUGGAGAGAGCGUCAAAAGACUUGAAAUCGCUGAGGCGGACCCGGUAGAAAUGAAUUCUGGGGGCGCCCACUGGGAAGCCUGCGAGCAGGUCACUUGUGUGCGUCAGCGCGGCAAGAUGGAGUCGUUCGAUGUCAGAGGCGGUGCGUGGCGUGGCUUGUCCACGCGCGAUACUGGCCGGGUGUCGGGCGGCUUGAGGGGCUUUGUGCGAUCUUGCCAAAAUGGUUUUUACCGACUCGUCUUGAAACACGAACCAAGGAGUCUAAGACUAACGCGAGUGUGGUGGUGGAGAAACCAACACGCGAAAUGAAAGUGAAUGAUGCCAAGUUUACGCAGCAUCGACCGACUUCUGUCUAUAGGCAGCAGGUUUGAGUAAGAGCGUUAUUCUUAGGACCCGAAAGAUGGUGAAACUAU
rnacentral:rRNA from 1 species